rnacentral:rRNA from 1 species
AGUGAACGCUGGCGGUAGGCCUAACACAUGCAAGUCGAACGGCAGCACAGUAAUAGCUUGCUCUUACGGGUGGCGAGUGGCGGACGUGUGAGGAAUACAUCGGAACCUACUUUUUCGUGGGGGAUAACGUAGGGAAACUUACGCUAAUACCGCAUACGACCUACGGGUGAAAGCAGGGGAUCUUCGGACCUUGCGCGAUUGAAUGAGCCGAUGUCGGAUUAGCUAGUUGGCGGGGUAAAGGCCAACCAAGGCGACGAUCCGUAGCUGGUCUGAGAGGAUGAUCAGCCACACUGGAACUGAGACACGGUCCAGACUCCUACGGGAGGCAGCAGUGGGGAAUAUUGGACAAUGGGCGCAAGCCUGAUCCAGCCAUCCCGCGUGGGUGAAGAAGGCCUUCGGGUUGUAAAGCCCUUUUGUUGGGAAAGAAAAGCAGCAGGUUAAUACCCCGCUGUUCUGACGGUACCCAAAGAAUAAGCACCGGCUAACUUCGUG